rnacentral:rRNA from 1 species
CCCAGACUCCUACGGGAGGCAGCAGUGGGGAAUAUUGCACAAUGGGGGAAACCCUGAUGCAGCGACGCCGCGUGAGUGAAGAAGUAUUUCGGUAUGUAAAGCUCUAUCAGCAGGGAAGAAAAAAGACGGUACCUGACUAAGAAGCCCCGGCUAACUACGUGCCAGCAGCCGCGGUAAUACGUAGGGGGCAAGCGUUAUCCGGAUUUACUGGGUGUAAAGGGAGCGUAGACGGCAAUACAAGUCGGAAGUGAAAUACCCGGGCUCAACCUGGGAACUGCUUUGGAAACUGUAUGGCUGGAGUGCUGGAGAGGUAAGCGGAAUUCCUAGUGUAGCGGUGAAAUGCGUAGAUAUUAGGAGGAACACCAGUGGCGAAGGCGGCUUACUGGACAGUAACUGGCGUUGAGGCUCGAAAGCGUGGGGAGCAAACAGGAUUAGAUACCCCCGUAUC